GAAAUGCGAUAAGUAAUGUGAAUUGCAGAAUUCAGUGAAUCAUCGAAUCUUUGAACGCACCUUGCGCUCCUUGGUAUUCCGAGGAGCAUGCCUGUUUGAGUGUCAUUAAAUUCUCAAUCUCUACAACUUCGUGUUGUACAGAUUGGAUUUGGGGGUUUCAUUGUGUGGAAUUCAAUUCCUCACUCCCCUUAAAAGAAUUAGCUGGAAUGCCUCUGCAUAUCUGACUAUCAGUGUGAUAAUUAUCUAUACUGUGGUUGUUGCAUGAGGGUAUCUGCUUCCUCAAUCGUCGUAAGACAAAUGACCAUCUUGACCUCAAAUCAGGUAGGACUACCCGCUGAACUUAA
rnacentral:misc_RNA from 1 species